AUGCAGACGGACGUCCAGGUCCAGUGCGCCGCCGAGUCCGACCAGCCUGCCGGCGCAACCACCGGCAAGAAGAAGCGGAUGCCCGCCCAGCACGUCAGUUACAUCCUGGCCAUGCCGACAGAGAAGCCCGAAGAAUUUGUCCUGCCUAACUUCCUCCGGGGCGACAGCAACAUGGCGGAGAAGAUGGGCGUGACGGAGGAGUGGCUCGAGGACAGAAGGCGGAUGUACAGGGAAUCCGCCGUCCGUACCCAGAGGGUCCACGACGACUUCGUGAAGUACCAGGCCCAGAUCCGCGACGAGCUGUUCGAGAAGGGCUACGUGGAGGUGGACGACGACUACUUCACCGACAGGGCUGAGAUCCAGGAAGAGACCAGGGCGAGGUGGGAAGAGUUGGAGAAGAAGCUAGACCCCAAUAUCAAAUUCGUGAACUACGGCAGCGACUCCCAUGUUCCGUAUGACUACGAGGAGCAGGCGAGGCGCCUGGUCGAUCUCUGA
rnacentral:rRNA from 1 species